GUCCCUUCGCGGACAUCCGAUAAAAUUGGAAUGAUACAGAGAAGAUUAGCAUGGCCCCUGCGCAAGGAUGACACCCACAAAUCGAGAAAUGGUCCAAUUUUUU
rnacentral:snRNA from 2 species